AUUUUGUUCUGUGGUGGUAGCUUAAGUACAACAUCGUACCUCCCAGAAAUGAUGACGACCCUGCUUUUUCCUCCAUACAGUAGCAUUACUUUAGUCAGUGGUGGCCUCAUUUGGCCAGAGGCAUUUGGUGCAGAGACCCAGGGGCUGAGUAGCAGUUGAGCCAGGGUAGGCAGCAGGUGAGGCAGGAAACUGGUAAUCUGGAGGUGCCAGAGAUUUUUCCUCUGUAGUAAAAAGGUACAGAGGAGGGAGCUGUAGGAAGAGCUCCCCUUCUCCAGAGCUGAAGUUCGGCAGCUGCAGCCCCAUGUGAUCGGACAUCAAAGAUGUGACAGGUCUUUUACUGGCGUCUUUGCAUCUGUCAUCUGAUUUAUCCACUGAAGUGUGUUUCUUCAGAAUGAGGCCCUGUAUAAGGAUAGUAUAAAAAAGGUAUGCAAUACUGCUGGACUUCAUGUAUCUAUUCUGGCUGACUGACACACUUUGGAG
ensembl:lncRNA